rnacentral:rRNA from 1 species
GACAGAGGCCCCAAGCGUUAGGCGGAAUCACUAAACUUAAAGCGUAUGUAAACGAACGCCUAAGUGUCUUGUGAAAUCCCACGGCUCACCCGUAGAACUGCUGGGCAUACUGGACGUCUUGGGCCAACUAAAGGCAGCCGGAACAAGCGGUGAAGCGGUGAAAUACGUAGAUAUCGCUUGGAACGCCGAAGGUGAAAACAGGCUGCUGGGGUUGCGCCGACGCUGAGACACGAAAGCCAGGAGAGCAAACGGG